CGUUGGUCUCCUCGCAACGUGAAAUCGUUAACCCGGUCAGGCCCGGAAGGGAGCAGCCGCAGCGGUGAAUCGUGUGCCGGGGUUCGGCUGGCGGAA
rnacentral:SRP_RNA from 1 species